GCUGGCAUCCAUGAUUCUGAUCAGGAAUAACUGCAAUAAGAACGGCCUAAGCGAUGCCGAACUCUGAGAGGUCUUAACACCUUCUCCGAGGCCACACGCACCUACGUCAUACUUGGAGCCGUGGAAGCUAGCACUCUCCACGUGUCUGCACUGGUGAUGUGGCUGGUGCCCGUUCCAGAGAAGGAGAGAUGUGACAGGCAUCCCAACAGGAUCCUCAUACGACUCACUGCCGACCCCAACCAGCCCCGAAUCACGCCCACGCCCAGUGUGUGCAGGAAGUCUCCGGAUGGCAAACCCAGACCUCAGCCCCAUGUGGGUCAGCUUUGCAAGCCCUGUGCUACUGCCGUACCAUGGCCCAGCCCCUAAAAACAUUUGUAGACAAAAAGUAAAAACCAACUCAUCACCAGCAGGCCUAGUCUAAAAGAGGUGCAAACGGAAGUUCUUUGGACACAAGCAGAGCGUGUGAGAAAACUCGGGACAUCCGGAAUAAAGGGAGAAAGAGAGACACGAGAAGCACUUGGGCAAAUACAGUAGACUGUGCUUCUCCUGAAUUUAAAAAACGUGCAUGUAUAGUAAACAACACAGCAGAUAAGACUAAAAUAGCAUACUCGACAGUGUUUAAAUAACAGAAAGGAGAAAUAAAAAUCAGAAGUAAUAAAUUAAAAGACAAGUAAUAAAAUGUUAGCCUUAAAUGCAAACAUACUAAUAAACGAAACAUAAACACAGUCUAAGCAGACCAAUUAAAAUACAAAGAUUGGGGGGUCAGUAUGUGGCAAGGCAGUUAAGGCACUGGAGUCCCACAUGCCCAAACGCAUUUUGUGUUUUGGGUCUGGCAGCUUGAAAAUCAUGCUGUGUGUGUGUGUGUGUGUGUGUGUGUGUGUG